rnacentral:lncRNA from 1 species
ACCCCGAGAGAACAAUUUCUGGUACUUAGCCAGAUUUUCACAGGUUUGCUCUCAUGGGUCCAUAUACCCUAUACAAUGGCCCUAAUGAUCUUAGAACCCAUUGUAACUUGUUCAUACUUGUCCGACUCCGCGUUCUGCUCGUUUCGACGGAACUCAGCACAUUUUACGGGGAAGUGAUACGUUACAGUUCACCAUCUGAAUCCAAAUCGGAAUAAACCAUUUCCAUUUUCGAUGUUGGUUUAUAUAGAUAUCAGAAACGUAAUCAAAUUAAUAUAUCAAUUUUAUCUUUAUAAUAUAUUAGUUUAAAUUCAAACUGAAAAUUAAAUAUUAAAAAUUUACUUCAAAAUGUUAAAAUAAUGUCAAAAUUUUAAAUACAUAUUUUUUAAAAAAUUAAAAUUUGAAAUUGAACAAAUAUUUCAAAAUAUAAAACUAAAUUUCGAUUUAUGCAAAUUCAAACUUAAAAUUUAAAUUUAAAUUUAAAUUUAUAUCCGUAAAUUUAAUUUAAAUUUUAAAUAAAAUUUGAAUAAAAUUUUAGAUUUUAAAUUAAAUUUAAAUUUAUAAAUUAGAUUCGAAAUGCUUGAUUGAAUUUUAAUUUUUAAUUUAAGUUCAAAUUAAAAUUAAAAUUUAUAAAUAUAAUUUUUAAACUUAAACUUAUGUUUUAAUUAAAAAUAAGCUCAAAAAAGUUAAAUUUAUCCUGAACAAAUCUAUUCGGCCUGAAGGCCGAAUUGGAAAAGUGGGUAAUUGGGAAGAUUCCUAUUAACGCGAAAAUCGGAAUCGAAAUGAAAAUCUCGUAUACCAAAUACGGACAAAUGGAUUCGUGAGGCCGGAUCGGAAAAAGGGAUAAUUGGGAGGAUUCUCAUUAAUCCGUGAAUCAGAAUCGGAAUGGGAAUCCCGCAUAUCAAAUACGGAUUGUUCAUUCUGAUUUUCAUUUCAGGGUGAAAAAGGGGGUGAACAAAACACGCCUUAAUUGU